AACCUAGCACACCUGCGGUGUGUACCUGCGGAGGGAUCAUUACCGAGUUAGGGUAGUUAUUCACUGCCCGACCUCCCAACCCUGUGUCUACCACACCUUGUCGUUGCUUCGGCGGACCGGUCGACCAACUGGUCGUGACCGCCGGGGGCUGGCUCUGUCCCCCCUGGAGAGCGUCCGCCGAUGGCCAACCACAAACUCUUGUACCGAAACGUGUCGUCUGAAUAAUUGAGAAAUCAAAUA
rnacentral:misc_RNA from 1 species